CGUUGGAAUUGGACGGCGGCCGCUGGCUACGGUGGUUGCAGGAAACCCUAGGGAUCGUUUUGUAUUUCUCGAUCUUUUAGGAUUUUAUCUGCAAAUUCAGGAUAAUCAUUUUAUCCCGAUUUGUCUUUUAGUUUCCACAUGUGAUUUUCGAUUAAUGAAAUAUGUGGUUGCUCAAAAAAAAAAGGCUACCCUCGUGUUUUGUUCGGGAAAAAGGAGAGAGCGACAAUGAUUGGGGCGACUGGAGCCGACGGCGGCAGGGAAAGGAGACGGCGGCGGGGAAAGGACAAGCAAAUCACAACAGCGUCGACGAGAUCCUCCUCCGGCGACUGGUCCCCGCUGGAGGUCCUCUGGCGGCGGCGGUGUGGUUUCCGGCAUUCGGUGGCUUCUAAUGUUCUGUUAAAUUGUAUGACAAUGAGUUUAUAAGGACGGUUGCUCAUCUGUUGGGUCGAGCAUUUAUUUAUAUGUGUGUUCUUGUUUGAGAAAAUCGCAUGACAAAUUUGCAUGACACGAAGUUUAUGUUGAUGUUUUUAA